GAUAUCUUGGCUCUGGCAUCGAUGAAGAACGCAGCGAAAUGCGAUAAGUAAUGUGAAUUGCAGAAUUCAGUGAAUCAUCGAAUCUUUGAACGCACAUUGCGCCCUUUGGUAUUCCGAGGGGCAUGCCUGUUCGAGCGUCAUUUCAACCAUCAAGCCCCGCUUGGUAUUGGACGCGGUCGCUGCGACCCGUCCGCAACCCGUUGGCGGUACCGUCUGGACCCAAGCGUAGCAAGAAUUUCAUUCGCUUCGGGCCUCCCGGCGGCGCCUGCCGGCAAAGAACCCCCCUCUGAAGUUUGACCUCGGAUCAGGUAGGGAUACCCGCUGAACUUAAGCAUAUCAAU
rnacentral:rRNA from 1 species